rnacentral:tRNA from 1 species
GGGAAUGUAGUUCAAUACUAGAAUGCUUGCCUAGAACGCACGAGGUCCUAGGUUCAAUCUCUAGUAUCUCA